rnacentral:lncRNA from 1 species
CGGGCCCCGCGGGCGGGGCGGGUGCUGGACCCGGAGGGGCCUUCCGGCAACUUUUUGGUUGGUGCCGCCCCGCCCAGGCCCCUUUUAAACUUGAUCUCCGCAGUGCCCUCCCUUUUCGGCCGCGGCGCGUGACUGGGCUUGGUGGAGUUUCAAGAUGCUGAUGAACUUAAGGUCUGGCGCUUGAAAGAAUCAGUGAAGCUUUUCAAGUAGAGGAGGUUCUAGAUGAAUGACUGAUGAAGACACAACAGCACGGUGGUGAGGCCAUUGAAUGCUUCUAAGACUGCACUUGGCAACAUCACAAGCUGCAGAAUCCCGUGCCACAUAUGACCUGCUGUUCACCGGUUCUUGCCAGGAUCACACCUGAGAAGAGGAAGAUAAUGGAG